rnacentral:rRNA from 1 species
AUUGAACGCUGGCGGCAUGCCUUACACAUGCAAGUCGAACGGCAGCACGGGGCAACCUGGUGGCGAGUGGCGAACGGGUGAGUAAUGCAUCGGAACGUACCUUUCAGUGGGGGAUAACGUAGCGAAAGUUGCGCUAAUACCGCAUAUUCUGUGAGCAGGAAAGCAGGGGAUCGCAAGACCUUGCGCUGAUUGAGCGGCCGAUGUCAGAUUAGCUAGUUGGUGAGGUAAAGGCGCACCAAGGCGACGAUCUGUAGCGGGUCUGAGAGGAUGAUCCGCCACACCGGAACUGAGACACGGUCCAGACUCCUACGGGAGGCAGCAGUGGGGAAUUUUGGACAAUGGGGGCAGCCCUGAUCCAGCCAUGCCGCGUGAGUGAAGAAGGCCUUCGGGUUGUAAAGCUCUUUCGGCCGGGAAGAAAUCGCACGGGCUAAUACCCUGUGUGGAUGACGGUACCGGAAUAAGAAGCACCGGCUAACUACGUGCCAGCCGCCGCCGUAAGAC